rnacentral:lncRNA from 1 species
GAAAGAGAUUCAUUUGCAUUUGUUAUAUUGAUAAAUUGUUGAAUGGUUAAAAGUCUAUUUAUUCAUAAUAAUUUUUGUGAUUAAAUUUUGUGGUAAUAUUUUUCAGGUUUGUUGAAGUAAGUAAAUGAGGAGCCAAAUGGAUUUUCCCAUGGAGAAUUGUGCACAGCAUAUGGACUUGAGGUGUGGAUUUUAUUGUUUUUCAUUUGCCUCUAUGCUAGUUUCCUUCAACUACAAGACUCCCAUUUAAAUACUUGCCUAAGAACAGGGCCUUAGGUUAGUUUAUAAGGUUGACAAAAUAAAACAACAGAAAUCUAGGGCUCAAGUUUUGUUCUUUUUCUUGAUCUUAAUCUCAAAUGCUAUAUAAAUAGGGCUAUAGUGAAUUAAAGCUUACAAUUACAUGCUACUUGUUAAAGAAAUUUCUAUCAUGUAACUUGGAGUAAGCAAUGGAAACUGAACUGGCUCAGCCACUUUUCCUAGGUAUCUAGUUCUUCAGCCAUUAACUGAAAUAUGUAAUGCAUGGUACAGAAUCUCUUGUUAUGGUUUAAAUUAGAAGGGCAAAAAACUCGUUUUCGGUAAUUUUAAACCUUCAUUCUUUUUUUCUUUUUCUUUUUUUAAAUAGAAACGAUUGUAUUGAUAAUCAAGAGGACAAGUAGUCCUCGACUAAACAACAAGAGUAAACUCUGCUUAAAAAACAGGAAACUAGAACCAAGAAAAGACUCUGAAGCUACACCUCUCUAAGAAAGGCAAGAAAAAACGUCUUAGUAAACUUAUCUUAACACAGCUCUCUUAUCUCUCAAGAUAAUAGGAUAAUGGUAAUCCUUAAACUGUUCGGUGACAGAUGCCCAAAGAGAAGCGCAAAAUUUUACUUGAAUCCAAAGUUCUUCAUAAGACACUCCUACAUACUCUUGAAAAAUUCUACGUUGCGUUCCACCCAUAAAUUCCAGAACAAAGUAUGAACAAGACAGUCCCAUAAAAUUCGAGCUCUCUUCCCCUUUCCCACACCGUCAUUUUAAUGCUAAGAAGCUGAAAACAGCCUUUAGGGAUUACCCAGAUCACUCCAACUUCACUUAACAACUUCCACCAAAGACAUAAAGAAUUUUAAACCUUCAUUCUCUUUCCGUGUUUUUUUUUUGGUUUUUUUUGUUUGGGUUUAGGCUUGGGAGGUGGUGAUAGCAACACCCUCAUCUUGCUAGCAAAGAGAAGGAACAAAAGGAAGGGCACCAAUCAGGUGUGUGCGGAAGUUAACUUACAAGUUGUUUGAUUUUCUAAGUAUCUUGUCUUUUUACGUUACUAUUUUUCGAACCUCUUACAUGAAAUCCCAUUAUUGGUUGAUACUUUUUAAAAAGGAAAUUUUGUUGCUCUUAUGGCAUUAUGUUGUGAUACUCCUUCCUGCACCCUGCUCUUCAAUAGGGAAAAGAAAAACAGGAACAAACAAAUAAUUUUAGAUUCUAAAUUUCAAUAUGGUUUUAUAAUACUUGUAAGAUGUGCAAUCCAAGACCACAUUUGGAUUUUUUGAUAGGUAUCAAGGAUAAUGAUGAGCACAAUGUAAUCAACAUUCUAUUCAUGUUCCUGUUUCUUACAGUAGUCAGAAAUGUGAUAGUACAAGUUUUUAUAUGUUUUGAGUGGUAUUUAUUUAUAUAUGACUGGUGUUACUGACUAACUGGAGACUCGGGGUGGAUUUGGGACAGGAAAAAGUGAAAGAAACACCGAAUGUAAAUUUCAGCAGGACGAGUAAAUUAUCAAAUUCUCCUACACCGAGGUCUCUAAUUGCCCCAACUAUAGUGCGUUUAUCAAGGCCUGAGGAAGUUGAAAAUGCAAGGAAGGAUCUUCCCAAUAGUAAUGGUGGAGCAGGGGAUAAUGGAGGCUGUUAAUGACCAUUCCACUGUUAUUAUAUGUGGAGAGACUGGGUGUGGUAAAACCACCCAAGUUCCACAGGUGGGUUUAUUAUCAUAUUAUUGUUGUUAUGCUUAUAUGCAUUUCAUAUUCUUGAUCCCUUGAAGCUCCUAAUUCUGCAUUUCGGUUGACAUGUUGCAGUUUCUUUUUGAAGCCGGCUUUGGUUCAAGCUUCUCUUGAGUCUGAAGUGGUAUAAUUGGUGUUACUCAACCUCGUUGUGUGGCAGUCCUUGCGACUGCUAAGCGAGUGGCAUAUGAGCUUGGUCUACAUUUAGGUAGAGAGGUCAGGUUUCAAGUUAGGUAUGGCAAAAGGGUCGGUGAAAGUUGCUCCAUCAAGUUCAUGACAGAUGGAAUAUUACCACGGGAACUUCAGGUUCUUUAACCAACCGAUCUUGUUAAUCUAUCAUAAUUUGAGCAACUAUGCAUCAAAUAAUACGUUUCUCUAUAUGGGUUUCUAUUAAGGUUGGGUUCUGUUUUCAUACUGAUACAUAUACGGUUUGGACGAUUGAACCAUUGAUUAGAACCAUUCAGUUUUUAGCUUCUCAGCUAAAUCAGAAAUUGUUUAGCCAUUUGAUUAUCCUUGACAACAUCUGAUCUGAAUUUUUUUUAGUCCGUAUAAUCCUUGAAGAAUGACCUAAAAUAUGGAUGGUUCCGAUCAUUGUAAAAUAUAUCCAUGGAUAGCCCUAGGAAGGACAUGCACUUUUCUUACAACAAUGACAUCCUUGACAUAGAAAAAUUCAAUUUAUAUAUGUAUGGGUUAGGAUCCUGGGACAAACUAUUUUACGCGUAAUUACGACAUUUGUCUACAAUUUGGGAAAUGUUUUACAUGAAUGGUUUUGAAGGGAACCUACAAAACAGAUGGUUUUAUAUAAUGGGAACACAUUAUGGGUUGAGCCAAACAUCAUGGUUCUCUUUUCUUAGAAAGAAAAUCCCUUUUAAGUUUUGACUAUUUGUACAUAUCUUAAGUCUUAAUAAAUCUCUCUCUCUCUCUCUCUCUCUCUCUCUCUCUCUCUCUCUCUCUCUCUCUCUCGUAUCUGGUUUCUCUCAUCUUAUCCAAAAACGAAAAAAGGAUAAAAAUGCUUUGACAAGCUGGAGUAUUAAUUUGAUAUGCAUAGCCAUUGGGCUUAAUGGACUGCUAGUGGGCGGUCAAUAGGGAAUCAUAUCAGUGCUGCCUUGGAUGUGUCUCAAGGCUUAGACGGGCAGUGUGUGGGUCGGUGUCUGAGGAUUCGUGUGAGGUUGGCACACAGUGCUCGUCCUAUAAAUUAUCAUAUUAAUACUGCAGCUUGUCAUUAAUGUCUUCAUUUUUUUCCUUUUUUGUUUGUUUUUGGGAUAAGAUGAGAGAAACCAGCUAGAUUUUUGGAGACUCUUCCCCUUUACUAGAAGUGCUUGUACUUGCACAAUUUAAUUUUGCAUCAAGGCACACAAAUGGGCCGGUUUUAUUCAGCCCUGAACUCAAUUUUUAUUAGUUUUGGUUUUGGUUUUCACUCUCUCUCAAUUGUACAAGUAUUGAUCAUUACGUCUUGGGAUCUGUUUCCAACUUCUUCUUCUUUUUUUGGUACAAAUCUUUUUUCAUGUCACCGUUCUUAUGAAAUUUUAUGGAAUUUAGUUAGAUUUAGUUAUCCUUGUCCAAUGUACUUAAACCAAAGCUCUUUAUUGUACAGAAUGACUUUUUGCUGAAGCGAUAUAAUUCUUGAUGAGGCUCAUGAGCGGAGCUUGAACACCGACAUUCUUAUCGGAAUGCUUUCACGUGUAAUUCGUGCUCGCGAGGUGAAGCUCCAUAGUGUUGAUCAUGAAAAAAUUUGUUAGUCAAGGUUCUUGAACCAUUUGUUGUACUCAUUUGCAUGUGAUGGCAGGAAAAAUUUGCAGAGCAGCAAUGGGAGGUGCUUUCGGGAAGAACUAUAAUUACUGGGCAACAGAUUUGUCUUUUGAAGCUUGUUCUGAUGAGUGCCACUUGCGAGUGGAGGACUUCAUGUCUGGUAGAAAGCUGUUUCGCAAUCCCCCGCCAGUUAUAGAAGUUCCCACCAGACAAUUUCCUGUAACCAUUUACUUUUCAAGCAGAACUAAGGAAGAGGAUUAUAUUGGGCAAGCAUGUAAAAAAGCCUUGGCAAUUCACAAGAGGCUGCCACGCGGGGGCGUACUUGUGUUCGUCACUGGGCAGAGGAAAGUAGAGUAUUUGUGUCGAAAGCUACAUAGAGUUUCAAAGGAACAGUUUAAAAAAACAACUGAAGGGGAUAUUAGGAGUGAUGUCACUGAAGUUUCUGAAAGAAGUUCUACUGAGGAAAUAGACAUGAAGGAGAUCAAUGAAGCAUUUGAGGUUCAUGGAAUUUGGCUGGCCAUCAAACUAACAGAUUUAGCUAUAAUGAUGAAGAUCAGUUUGAUAUAGAUGACGAUGAGUAGGAUGAUUCAUAUGAUUCAGAAACAGAGAAUGAACUGGAAUUUAUUGGUGACCAUGGCGACUCAUUGAUCCAAGCUAGUCUGGAAAUUGAUGGUGAUGUGGAAAAUCUUUUAGGAGAGGAAGGAGGCAUUACUGCACUGAAGCUUGAGACGCAAAAACUUCAUCUAACUUCAAUUCUGAUGAGAAACAACCAUUUUCAGUUACUCCAAAUGCUUGCUACACCAAUCCAAUCCUAGCAUGGGAAAAAAGAGUGGAGUUGAAGAGAAUACUUCUCCAGGUACAUUUCAUGUUCCUCCUCCUUAUGCCAUGCUGCAUGUGAAAGAUCAGCUUCAUGUCGUUGAAGAAGUCAGGGAAGGAGAACGGCUCGUUGUUGUGGCCACCAAUGUGGCUGAAACAUCUUUAACUAUACCUGGGAUAAAGUAUGUUGUAGAUACUGGAAGAGAGAAAGUGAAGAGCUACAAUUCCUUAAAUGGCAUGGAAAUAGAUGAAGUACAGUGGAUAAGUAAUGCAUCAGCUGCUCAACGUGCAGGAAGAGCUGGAAGAACCGAGCCUGGAUACUGUUACCAUCUGUAUUCUUCUGCAGUAUAUAGUAACAUAUUUCCUGACUUUUCUCUCGCCGAAAUAUCUAAAGUCCCUGUUGAUGGUGUUGUACUUUACAUGAA